rnacentral:rRNA from 1 species
CGGACGGGUGAGUAAUGCCUAGGAAUCUGCCUGGUAGUGGGGGAUAACGUUCGGAAACGAACGCUAAUACCGCAUACGUCCUACGGGAGAAAGCAGGGGACCUUCGGGCCUUGCGCUAUCAGAUGAGCCUAGGUCGGAUUAGCUAGUUGGUGAGGUAAUGGCUCACCAAGGCGACGAUCCGUAACUGGUCUGAGAGGAUGAUCAGUCACACUGGAACUGAGACACGGUCCAGACUCCUACGGGAGGCAGCAGUGGGGAAUAUUGGACAAUGGGCGAAAGCCUGAUCCAGCCAUGCCGCGUGUGUGAAGAAGGUCUUCGGAUUGUAAAGCACUUUAAGUUGGGAGGAAGGGCAGUUACCUAAUACGUGAUUGUUUUGACGUUACCGACAGAAUAAGCACCGGCUAACUCUGUGCCAGCAGCCGCGGUAAUAC